rnacentral:rRNA from 1 species
GAUGAACGCUGGCGGCGUGCCUAAUACAUGCAAGUAGAACGCUGAAGGAGGAGCUUGCUCUUCUGGCUGAGUUGCGAACGGGUGAGUAACGCGUAGGUAACCUGCCUGGUAGCGGGGGAUAACUAUUGGAAACGAUAGCUAAUACCGCAUGACAACAGUUAUUGCAUGAUAACUGUUUAAAAGGGGCAACUGCUCCACUACCAGAUGGACCUGCGUUGUAUUAGCUAGUUGGUGAGGUAACGGCUCACCAAGGCGACGAUACAUAGCCGACCUGAGAGGGUGAUCGGCCAAACUGGGACUGAGACACGGCCCAGACUCCUACGGGAGGCAGCAGUAGGGAAUCUUCGGCAAUGGACGGAAGUCUGACCGAGCAACGCCGCGUGAGUGAAGAAGGUUUUCGGAUCGUAAAGCUCUGUUGUAAGAGAAGAACGAGUGUGAGAGUGGAAAGUUCACACUGUGACGGUAUCUAACCAGAAAGGGACGGCUAACUACGUG